rnacentral:rRNA from 1 species
GACAGAGGGUGCAAACGUUGUUCGGAAUUACUGGGCGUAAAGCGUGUGUAGGCGGUCCGCUAAGUCGGGUGUGAAAGCCCCGGGCUCAACCCGGGAAGUGCACUCGAAACUGGCGGGCUAGAGUAUCGGAGAGGUUGGUGGAAUUCUCGGUGUAGAGGUGAAAUUCGUAGAUAUCGAGAGGAACACCGGUGGCGAAGGCGGCCAACUGGACGAAUACUGACGCUGAGACACGAAAGCGUGGGGAGCAAACAGG